UAGCUAAAUUAGAAAUGGUACCUUGACU
rnacentral:piRNA from 1 species